AAUCAUGUGAAAUUACAAUUAUACCCUUUUUAUUUAUUUAUAUCUUAUUACAUGUACCGUUCCAACCUUUCGGCCCUUCCUCUUCCCCAUAUCAUUUAUUCUGCAAAACAAUGAUCGUGAAUCAUUUAUCCACGGUGAUCAGCCACUAUUGCGCUUCGUUUGGCGACGCUGAAUAACAAUGGAACCGAUUGAGAUUGAUGGCUUCGGCUUUGGAAGCGGCGAUGAGGUCACAGAACAUUCUGAAUCGCAGUUGAACAUUGAGCUUAUCAAGAGAGUUGCAGAUUUUAGUUUAAUCAGUAAUCAUUGGGUAAUUGAACUGGAACACGAGUUUAGCAGCAGAGAGUUGCAGAUUUGCUCGAAAUUCAUCAUGUUACCUCCUAUGGACUAGAUUAUCUGAAGAGCUGAUCUUUAAUGCUAUUCAUUUUUUGAUAAAAAUUGAAAAUGAGUUGUAUGUGAUGUUUCGUCCCACUCUUCAGGGCCUGAGUCCGUGGUCGAAAAAACUAUAACGGAUUGGAUUAAUGAGGAGCUUCAUGAUGACUCAUUUAAUCAUGUGCUUGAUUUUGUUUCACUGAGGAAAAGGCUUGUGGAUUUUGUUGAUCGUUGACUCAUGUUCUACGCAGUUCGGAGCUGAUUACUGCAGCAGUUUAAGCAAGUGAGUUGGCCAGCAGGACAAGAAUUUGGAGUGAUUGACAGAUUAAAAAAUGAGAAAGCAAAUGAUGUGGCUUGACAAGGCAAAUGCUCUGGCACAAUGUAUGGCUGCUAUUUCCUUGCUUGUUUUCUGAAGUUUGAGCAGCUAUGGUGGAGGCUGGAGGCACCGGUAAAAUGAGUGAGCAGUUCACCAUCAGAUUAUAUAUAGAGCUUAGCAUGGCCAACAUCACCACAACAAUUGCAACGACUUGAAGCUUUUAAUUGAUGUCGUCAGUUCCUUGCUUCAUCGCUCUCUCGGACAUCUUUUAUCGCUCAAGACAAGCAUCAAGUCAGAUGGAGAUGUGUUUCAUGAGGUCUUCAGUAGCAAACCACACC